ACGGAGGGUGCAAGCGUUACUCGGAAUCACUGGGCGUAAAGGAUGCGUAGGCGGAAGAUCAAGUCAAAAGUGAAAUCCCACGGCUCAACCGUGGAACUGCUUUCGAAACUGGUUUUCUAGAAUAUGGGAGAGGUAGAUGGAAUUAGUGGUGUAGGGGUAAAAUCCGUAGAUAUCACUAGGAAUACCGAUUGCGAAGGCGAUCUACUGGAACAUAAUUGACGCUGAGGCAUGAAAGCGUGGGGAGCAAACAGG
rnacentral:rRNA from 1 species